AUAAGAUUUCAGACCAAACAACUGAUAUUUCCUUUAAAAAGUUUUUAAAAAAUACAAAACUGUUUACUAUUUAUAUCGCUGCCUAAACAUAACUUAACUGUUGAGUUAAAUUUUGUUUCGUGUAAUAAUCGGGUUUUAAGAUUUUGUUUUAAUUGUUCAUCUUCGAUUUAUCCAAGCAAUCCAAAAUUGCGAAUUGUAUCAAAAAGAUUGUGGCAAACUUCAUAAACAAACAAGAUCGUCGCCCGGGACGAUGCAUAUUAGACCCGUGCUGGAUGAGGAAAAAGAUUUCACCCUUAUUUACGUACCUACUGGCUUUUCAUCGAACACGAUCCUCACGGCAGCCUCGGAAGGCGGAUAACUGUGCCAUGUGGAAAUUAUUGUUCAAAGGAAAAGUACCAAACGAGUUUGAAUUAUUUGCUACGAGAUGAACGCUAAGGGUCGUAAAAAAAAACAAUCGGUCUAAAUAUGAAAAAAAAAAAAACCCAGCGAAUCCCUGAGUGGCUCCAGUCACUGUAUAAAAGGGAAGCCGAAGUAUCCCGUUUCUGGCAAAUUAAAGAAUCACACGGAAAAAAAUUAACGGAACUCAUACGAUCUGGUUGUAAAUGAUAAGACUAGGAAUUCACCCUGAAGAUUGAUUAAUAAUAAUAACAACCGAGUCUAAUAAGCGAGCCAUAAGGGUUAGUGAAACAUGAACUGGAAAAAAUGAAAAAAAAAAUGAUAUAAUUGAGGCAUGUUCGGGAAAAGGAAGAAGUCUUGGAGCUUGGAAAUGCACUUUUCCAAAGUGGAAACCAGCGUUCUCAUUAUGGAUCUAGUUUCCGAUUCUAAUCACGCUCUGGUUACAGAUUAAUUCAUUGUGCUUCGCGUUCGAUAUAGAACUUGAAU